rnacentral:rRNA from 1 species
GACAGAGGGUGCAAACGUUGCUCGGAAUUACUGGGCGUAAAGCGCGUGUAGGCGGUUCCGCAAGUCAGGUGUGAAAGCCCAGGGCUCAACCCUGGAAGUGCACUUGAUACUACGGAGCUUGAGUACUGAAGAGGAGAGCGGAAUUCCCGGUGUAGCGGUGAAAUGCGCAGAUAUCAGGAGGAACACCGGUGGCGAAGGCGGGUCUCUGGGCAGUAACUGACGCUGAGGAGCGAAAGCGUGGGGAGCGAACAGG